rnacentral:lncRNA from 1 species
GCUAUCUCUUCUUAUUUCCAGGGUUCCACUGGAGAGAGGGGUCCCGCUGGGCCGGCUGGCGCUAUUGGCCAGCCAGGACGCCCUGGCGGUGUUGGUCCUGCUGGGCCGAUGGGAGAGAAAGGCGAGCCAGGAGAGAAAGGACCCCCAGGGCCAGCUGGGCGUGAUGGAGAACUGGGACCAAGAGGGCUGCCAGGGACUGCAGGACCUCCUGGACCUCCAGGGGAGGAUGGAGACAAGGGAGAAACAGGAGUACCAGGCCAGAAGGGUAGCAAAGGAGACAAAGGAGAAGCUGUG